GCCGCCCCCGCCCCGCGCUCCGAGCCGGGCCGCCGGGCUGCGCCCCGCCUGUGCUGGAGGCGCCGGGGCCAAGUGGGGGAGGGCUCCCCCCGCCCCGCCCGGGGCUGCCAGGUGAGCCCGGAGCAGCAGCGGAGCGGUUGGCUGAUCUCUGAAGGGCUUUAAACUAGGUUCGUCAGGGGACAGGGAAGCAGAGGAUAAGGAAAACCUUAUCAGCGAGCCAUGAGCAUUGCACUGGAUCAGCCCAGGUAAGUAUUUAAGCACUAUGGGGCCUGAUAGACAUCAGGACAGAGGGAGGUACCAAGGGCACCCAUUAGGGGGCUUAAAUGUCUCUACACUGAUGCUGGGGGAACAUAGGGAACAAGCAGGAGGAACUUGCACUCCUGCUUGCAAGCAACAACUUUGACCUGGUUGGACUAACUGAAACCUGGUGGGACCGUUCUCAUGACCGGGCAGUAGGCAUUGAGGGUUACAGGUUGUGCAGACAGGAUAGAGUGGGGAUAAAAGGUGGAGAGGGGUGUUGCUCUCUAUGUUAAGGAACAAUAUACAUCCUCUAUAAUCAAGAUGGGAUCAGAGAAGGGCCAAACUGAGGUACUGUGGGCCAGGAUACAAGGGGGUUGGAGGAAAAGGGACUUGGUAGCGGGGGUCUACUAUAGACUGCCACACCAGGAGGAUGAGCUAGACCUGCAGUUCUCCAGACAGCUCUCAGAGGCCAUACGGUCGACAGAUAUGGUUGUCAUGGGUGACCUAAACUACCCUGGCAUGUGCUGGGAGGAGCAGUCAGCCAAAUCUAACCAUUCACCUAGGCUCUUUACCUGCAUACAGGAUCUCCACCUAACACAGGAGGUAUACGAUCCCACUAAGGGAAAUGUCUUGCUGGACUUGGUGUUAGCUACAGGGGAUGACCUGGGGCAGGAUCUGCAAGUAUAAGGUCACAAAAUGCCUAGAUGCAGGAGUCGAGGUCAAUGUCAUCUACCUAGACUUUAAGAAGCCCUUCAAUAUGGUAUCUCAUUCUGUUCUCAUAAAUAAAAUGACAGACUGUGAUGUAGAUGAUUACAUGGUCAGGUGGGGGGCAAAUUGGCUGAGGAGGUGCACCCAGAGAGUGGUGGUGCACAGGCCGGUAUCAACCUGGAAAGAGGUGGGCAGUGGAGUCCCGCAAGUCUCGAUCCUUGGACCGGUGCUAUUCAAUGUCUUCAUCAGUGACUUGGACAAGGGCAUAGAGAACUCCCUGUCCAAGUUCUCAUGUUACCAAAAUAUGGGGCAAAUUUAACACACCAGAGGGUAGGAAAGGGAUCCAGGCAGAUCUGGACAUGUUGGAAAAAUGGGCAGAACGAAGUAGGAUGCAGUUCAACAAAGACAAGUGCAAAGUGCUGCACCUGGGCAAAAAGAACCACCAACACACUUCCAGGUUGGGGGACGACCUUCUCAGGAGCACAGCAGCAGAAAGGGAUCUUGGAGCUACAGUUGACUCCACAAUGAACAUGAGUCGUCAAUGUGACAAAGUGAUGAACAAGGCUAACUGCACUUUAUCAUACAUUUUUCCUGGAGACCCUACUCCUCAGCCAGCGCCCGCAGGGGGGCAUCGGUGCUCCCGCCCUCCCCCCCGCACAUCAACUAAUUGGGGAGCACUGGCUGUGAGGGGGUGCACCAGCAUGCUCAGGGGGUGCACGUGCACCCCCCAUGCACGCCCUACGCAUCGCCACUGCCCCUUCCUACCCUAACAUCUAUGAAUCUAAUAAAACUAUGAUAUAAACCCAAAAUCCUCAUUUAUCCACAAUUAAAGUGAAACACUGCUAUAUAUAUAGGUAUCAGCUGAACACAAUGUUUUAUUGAUAUAUUUAUAAUUUUAAAGCAAUUUGGAAGAC